UUGGUUAAGUUAGAAAGGGCGCACGGUGGAUGCCUUGGCACUAGGAGCCGAAGAAGGACGGGACUAACACCGAUAUGCUUUGGGGAGCUGUACGUAAGCGUUGAUCCAGAGAUUUCCGAAUGGGGGAACCCACUAUCUUUAGUCGGAUAGUAUCCUUACGUGAAUACAUAGCGUGAGGAAGGCAGACCCAGGGAACUGAAACAUCUAAGUACCUGGAGGAAGAGAAAGAAAAAUCGAUUUCCUGAGUAGCGGCGAGCGAAACGGAAAAAGCCCAAACCAAGAAGCUUGCUUCUUGGGGUUGUAGGACACUCUAUACGGAGUUACAAAAGAAAGUUAUAAAUGAAGCGGUCUGGAAAGGCCCGCCAAAGACGGUAACAGCCCGGUAGUUGAAAUAGCUUUCCCUCCAGAGUGGAUCCUGAGUACGGCGGAACACGUGAAAUUCCGUCGGAAUCCGGGAGGACCAUCUCCCAAGGCUAAAUACUCCCUAGUGACCGAUAGUGAACCAGUACCGUGAGGGAAAGGUGAAAAGCACCCCGGAAGGGGAGUGAAACAGUUCCUGAAACCGUGUGCCUACAAGUAGUUAGAGCCCGUUAAUGGGUGAUAGCGUGCCUUUUGUAGAAUGAACCGGCGAGUUACGAUUUGUUGCAAGGUUAAGCGGAAAAAGCGGAGCCGUAGCGAAAGCGAGUCUGAAUAGGGCGAAUAAGUAACAGGUCGUAGACCCGAAACCAGGUGAUCUACCCAUGUCCAGGAUGAAGGUAAGGUAAUACUUACUGGAGGUCCGAACCCACGCACGUUGAAAAGUGCGGGGAUGAGGUGUGGGUAGCGGAGAAAUUCCAAUCGAACUUGGAGAUAGCUGGUUCUCUCCGAAAUAGCUUUAGGGCUAGCCUCGAGGUAAAGAGUCAUGGAGGUAGAGCACUGUUUGGACUAGGGGCCCUUCUCGGGUUACCGAAUUCAGAUAAACUCCGAAUGCCAUGUACUUAUACUCGGGAGUCAGACUGCGAGUGAUAAGAUCCGUAGUCGAAAGGGAAACAGCCCAGACCACCAGUUAAGGUCCCCAAAUAUAUGUUAAGUGGAAAAGGAUGUGGGGUUGCUUAGACAACCAGGAUGUUGGCUUAGAAGCAGCCACCAUUGAAAGAGUGCGUAAUAGCUCACUGGUCGAGUGACCCCGCGCCGAAAAUGUACCGGGGCUAAACAUAUUACCGAAACUGUGGAUGAACCUCUUAUAGAGGUUCGUGGUAGGAGAGCGUUCUAAGGGCGGUGAAGUCAGACCGGAAGGACUGGUGGAGCGCUUAGAAGUGAGAAUGCCGGUAUGAGUAGCGAAAGAAGGGUGAGAAUCCCUUCCACCGAAUAUCUAAGGUUUCCUGAGGAAGGCUCGUCCGCUCAGGGUUAGUCGGGACCUAAGCCGAGGCCGAUAGGCGUAGGCGAUGGACAACAGGUAGAGAUUCCUGUACCAGUGCUAAUUGUUUAACCGAUGGGGUGACACAGAAGGAUAGGGAAUCGCACGAAUGGAAAUGUGCGUCCAAGCAGUGAGNNNNNNNNNNNNNNNNNNNNNNNNNNNNNNNNNNNNNNNNNNNNNNNNNNNNNNNNNNNNNNNNNNNNNNNNNNNNNNNNNNNNNNNNNNNNNNGUGAGUGUGAGAAGUAGGCAAAUCCGCUUCUCGCGAAGCAUGAGCUGUGAUGGGGAAGGAAAUGAAGUACGGAAGUUCCUGAUUUCACGCUGUCAAGAAAAGCCUCUAGGAAGAGUAGUACUGCCCGUACCGCAAACCGACACAGGUAGAUGAGGAGAGAAUCCUAAGGUGAGCGAGAGAACUCUCGUUAAGGAACUCGGCAAAAUGACCCCGUAACUUCGGGAGAAGGGGUGCUCUAUUAGGGUGCAAGCCCGAGAGAGCCGCAGUGAAUAGGCCCAGGCGACUGUUUAGCAAAAACACAGGUCUCUGCAAAACCGUAAGGUGACGUAUAGGGGCUGACGCCUGCCCGGUGCUGGAAGGUUAAGAGGAGUGCUUAGCUUCGGCGAAGGUACGAAUUGAAGCCCCAGUAAACGGCGGCCGUAACUAUAACGGUCCUAAGGUAGCGAAAUUCCUUGUCGGGUAAGUUCCGACCCGCACGAAAGGCGCAACGAUCUGGGCACUGUCUCAACGAGAGACUCGGUGAAAUUAUAGUACCUGUGAAGAUGCAGGUUACCCGCGACAGGACGGAAAGACCCCGUGGAGCUUUACUGCAACCUGAUAUGGAAUGUUUGUACCGCUUGUACAGGAUAGGUAGGAGCCGAAGAGACGUGUGCGCUAGCAUACGAGGAGGCAAUGGUGGGAUACUACCCUGGCUGUAUGACCAUUCUAACCCGCCACGCUUAGCGCGUGGGGAGACAGUGUCAGGUGGGCAGUUUGACUGGGGCGGUCGCCUCCUAAAGAGUAACGGAGGCGCCCAAAGGUUCCCUCAGAAUGGAUGGAAAUCAUUCGCAGAGUGUAAAGGCACAAGGGAGCUUGACUGCGAGACUGACAAGUCGAGCAGGGACGAAAGUCGGGCUUAGUGAUCCGGUGGUUCCGCAUGGAAGGGCCAUCGCUCAACGGAUAAAAGCUACCCCGGGGAUAACAGGCUUAUCUCCCCCAAGAGUCCACAUCGACGGGGAGGUUUGGCACCUCGAUGUCGGCUCGUCGCAUCCUGGGGCUGUAGUCGGUCCCAAGGGUUGGGCUGUUCGCCCAUUAAAGCGGCACGCGAGCUGGGUUCAGAACGUCGUGAGACAGUUCGGUCCCUAUCCGUCGCGGGCGCAGGAAAUUUGAGAGGAGCUGUCCUUAGUACGAGAGGACCGGGAUGGACACACCGCUGGUGUACCAGUUGUUCCGCCAGGAGCAUCGCUGGGUAGCUAUGUGUGGCAGGGAUAAACGCUGAAAGCAUCUAAGCGUGAAGCCCCCCUCAAGAUGAGAUUUCCCAUUUCUUCGGAAAGUAAGAUCCCUGAAAGAUGAUCAGGUAGAUAGGUUUGGAGUGGAAGUGUAGCGAUACAUGGAGCGGACAAAUACUAAUCGAUCGAGGACUUAACCAAAAA
rnacentral:rRNA from 1 species